UACGAAGGGGGCUAGCGUUGUUCGGAAUCACUGGGCGUAAAGCGCGUGUAGGCGGCCCACUAAGUCUGAUGUGAAAGCCCGGGGCUCACCCCCGGAAGUGCAUUGGAAACUGGUGGACUCGAGUCCCGGAGAGGAGAGUGGAAUUCCUGGUGUAGCGGUGAAAUGCGUAGAGAUGUGGAGGAACACCGAUGGCGAAGGCAGCCUCCUGGGCCAGCACUGACGCUCAUGCACGAAAGCGUGGGGAGCAAACAGG
rnacentral:rRNA from 1 species